rnacentral:rRNA from 1 species
AAGACCUUGCACUUUUGGAGCGGCCGAUGUCUGAUUAGCUAGUUGGUGGGGUAAUGGCCUACCAAAGCUUCGAUCAGUAGCUGGUCUGAGAGGACGGCCAGCCACACUGGGACUGAGACACGGCCCAGACUCCUACGGGAGGCAGCAGUGGGGAAUUUUGGACAAUGGGCGCAAGCCUGAUCCAGCCAUGCCGCGUGAGUGAAGAAGGCCUUCGGGUUGUAAAGCUCUUUCAGCCGGAACGAAACGGUUACGGUUAAUACCCGUGACUACUGACGGUACCGGAAGAAGAAGCACCGGCUAACUACGUGCCAGCAGCCGCGGUAAUACGUAGGGUGCAAGCGUUAAUCGGAAUUACUGGGCGUAAAGCGUGCGCAGGUGGUUUUGUAAGUCAGAUGUGAAAUCCCCGGGCUUAACCUGGGAACU